GACAUUCUUAGGGCUGUUACCAAUGUUCCAUUAAUUUAUUAUGUUGAUUCCAGGCAUUAGGGAUCAAUAAUUUUAUUUUAAGAUGAUGCGAAGGGUGUGCUAUCAUCAUAAAUCUCCCAUCAUUAUGACUUUUAAGUUUAAUGAAUGGCAUAUUAUCAUUACGAUAUUAGCAAUAUAUGCAUAGUGAACAGUAUUGCAGGCUUUGUCUUUGGUUAUAUUCCUUUUUGAUGAAGAGAGGCUUGAAUUUUAUGUUUAACUUUUUAACCUGUAUUUUGUCCUUGUUCUGUUUCCUGACUAUCAGGCAGCUAAUGGCUGUGAUAUUGAGCAUGUUGCGUAUGAAUUUUUCACACAAGCGUUUGUAUUAUAUGAAGAAGAAAUUGCGGACUCUAAAGCCCAAGUGACUGCAAUUCAUCUGAUAAUUGGGACUCUCUAGAGGAUGAAUGUAUUUGGUGUUGAGAACAGAGAUACUUUGACACACAAAGCCACAGGAUAUUCAGCUCGGCUAUUGAAGAAGGCUGAUUAGUGCAGAGUUGUUACGCAUGUUCCCAUCUAUUUUGGGUUGAU